UGAUGAUGUUCCUCCUGUUGCCUUCAAGCCCGGCAUUAGGCUUUUAGGUCAUCAUAAAUUAAAAUUUGCUUUUUCUUCACUCAGGGUAAUGGGCUUAUCUACUGAUUCUCUGAAUUUGCAAAGUCAAACACUU
ensembl:snoRNA